GACGGAAGGUGCAAGCGUUGCUCGGAAUCACUGGGCGUAAAGGGUGCGUAGGCGGCCGCGCAAGUCUGGCGUGAAAGCCCCGGGCUCAGCCCGGGAAGGGCGCUCGAAACGGCGCGGCUCGAGUGCCGGAGGGGAGAGUGGAAUUCCUGGUGUAGCGGUGAAAUGCGUAGAUAUCAGGAGGAAUACCGGUGGCGAAGGCGACUCUCUGGACGGCAACUGACGCUGAGGCACGAAAGCGUGGGGAGCAAACAGG
rnacentral:rRNA from 1 species